CAGCCGUAAACGAUGCGCGUUAGGUGUAUCGACGGCCACGAGUCGUCGAGGUGCCGAAGGGAAACCGUGAAACGUGCCGCCUGGGAAGUACGGUCGCAAGGCUGAAACUUAAAGGAAUUGGCGGGGGAGCACCACAACAGGUGGAGCCUGCGGUUUAAUUGGACUCAACGCCGGGAAGCUCACCGGAUAGGACAGCAGAAUGAUUGCCGGGCUGAAGACCCUGCAUGACCAGCUGAGAGGUGGUGCAUGGCGUCAGUGACU
rnacentral:rRNA from 1 species